UACGGAGGAUGCGAGCGUUAUCCGGAUUUAUUGGGUUUAAAGGGUGCGCAGGCGGAGGCACAAGUCAGCGGUAAAAUCGCGGGGCUCAACCCCGCUCCGCCGUUGAAACUGUGUCCCUUGAGUGCGCGAAGGGUAGGCGGAAUGCGUGGUGUAGCGGUGAAAUGCAUAGAUAUCACGCAGAACUCCGAUCGCGAAGGCAGCCUACCGGCGCGCAACUGACGCUCAUGCACGAAAGCGUGAGUAUCGAACAGG
rnacentral:rRNA from 1 species